rnacentral:rRNA from 1 species
GUGUCAGCCGCCGCGGUAAUACGGAGGGUGCGAGCGUUAAUCGGAAUGACUGGGCGUAAAGGGCAUGUAGGCGGAUAAUUAAGUUAGGUGUGAAAGCCCUGGGCUCAACCUAGGAAUUGCACUUAAAACUGGUUAACUAGAGUAUUGUAGAGGAAGGUAGAAUUCCACGUGUAGCGGUGAAAUGCGUAGAGAUGUGGAGGAAUACCGGUGGCGAAGGCGGCCUUCUGGACAGAUACUGACGCUGAGAUGCGAAAGCGUGGGGAGCAAACAGGAUUAGAUACCCUGGUAGUCCACGCUGUAAACGAUGUCGAUUUGGAGUUUGUUGCCUAGAGUGAUGGGCUCCGAAGCUAACGCGAUAAAUCGACCGCCUGGGGAGUACGGCCGCAAGGUUAAAACUUAAAGAAAUUGGCGG